rnacentral:rRNA from 1 species
AAAUUGAAGAGUUUGAUCAUGGCUCAGAUUGAACGCUGGCGGCAGGCCUAACACAUGCAAGUCGAACGGUAACAGGAAACAGCUUGCUGUUUCGCUGACGAGUGGCGGACGGGUGAGUAAUGUCUGGGAAACUGCCUGAUGGAGGGGGAUAACUACUGGAAACGGUAGCUAAUACCGCAUAACGUCGCAAGACCAAAGAGGGGGACCUUCGGGCCUCUUGCCAUCGGAUGUGCCCAGAUGGGAUUAGCUAGUAGGUGGGGUAACGGCUCACCUAGGCGACGAUCCCUAGCUGGUCUGAGAGGAUGACCAGCCACACUGGAACUGAGACACGGUCCAGACUCCUACGGGAGGCAGCAGUGGGGAAUAUUGCACAAUGGGCGCAAGCCUGAUGCAGCCAUGCCGCGUGUAUGAAGAAGGCCUUCGGGUUGUAAAGUACUUUCAGUGGGGAGGAAGGGAGUAAAGUUAAUACCUUUGCUCAUUGACGUUACCCGCAGAAGAAGCACCGGCUAACUCCGUGCCAGCAGCCGCGGU